rnacentral:lncRNA from 1 species
GAAGAAGUAAACGAGAAAACUUAAAUAAGCUAGGUGCAAAUACAAACAUGAGGAAGUAGACCAGAAAACUUAAAUAAGUUAGGUGCAAAUGCAAACACAAGGAAGUAAACGAGAAAACUUAAAUAAGCUAGGUGCAAAUACAAACAUGAGGAAGUAGACCAGAAAACUUAAAUAAGUUAGGUGCAAAUGCAAACACAAGGAAGUAAACGAGAAAACUUAAAUAAGCUAGGUGCAAAUACAAACAUGAGGAAGUAGACCAGAAAACUUAAAUAAGUUAGGUGCAAAUGCAAACACAAGGAAGUAAACGAGAAAACUUAAAUAAGCUAGGUGCAAAUACAAACAUGAGGAAGUAGACCAGAAAACUUAAAUAAGUUAGGUGCAAAUACAAACACAAGGAAGUAAACCAGAAAACUUAAAUAAGCUAGGCUCUGUUAUUGACUUAUGACUUAUAGUACAGGAUUUGGAGGGAAUAUUUAAUAGUCCGGAGGUAAUUUCAAACACAUUGCAUAUACAAUGGCAC